rnacentral:rRNA from 1 species
CUACGGGUUGCUCCAGUGAGGAAUAUUGCACAAUGGGGGAAACCCUGAUGCAGCAACGCCGCGUGGAGGAUGACGCAUUUCGGUGUGUAAACUCCUUUUAUGAGUCAAGAAAAUGACGGUAGCUCAUGAAUAAGCACCGGCUAACUCCGUGCCAGCAGCCGCGGUAAUACGGAGGGUGCAAGCGUUACUCGGAAUCACUGGGCGUAAAGGACGCGUAGGCGGGAUGUCAAGUCAGGUGUGAAAUCCUAUGGCUCAACCAUAGAACUGCACAUGAAACUGGCAACCUAGAGUAUGGGAGGGGGAGAUGGAAUUAGUGGUGUAGGGGUAAAAUCCGUAGAUAUCACUAGGAAUACCGAAAGCGAAGGCGAUCUCCUGGAACAUUACUGACGCUAAGGCGUGAAAGCGUGGGGAGCAAACAGGAUUAGAUACCCCGGUAGUC